UGCAAGCGAGUUCCAGUCCAAUACCGAAAAUACGAAUAGGGUCUAUUAAAUAACUAAAUGUGCUAUCUCGUAAGCUUUGGUUUAGUUCUUUCUACAAACGCAUCGUCAGAAUAAGACAAAUGAGGGAAGUAAAAGUAACAGGCGCCACGUUAUAUCUUCCAUGAUUAAGAAUGUCUCGAUCACGGACCCCGGGGGGGAGGGGGGGGGGUAACUUCCAUAUGAAAAGGACGGUGAUGCUCGUCAGAAAACAAAUUUGAAUUAAACUGAAGGAGACUAAUCUGGGCGUGGUUCGAGCUUUAUUUGUCUCCUGAAAGCUACUCCUUAAAACGGAAAUCAAAGCGUUUUCUAUUAUUUCUUCGAGUGAACCCCAAAAAGAUACUGUCUCGUCCUAAACACUCUAACUGAGACCAAAAUCCUUGAAUUGAUAUUCACAACUAACACAGACGACGAGCACCCUAGACCUUUUCAUAUAGGAGUCUCCGAAGGGGAGGUGGGGAGGGGAGUUAUAGACCUCCUACUCAGUGUAGAGUAAAUCUUCACAACAUCUAACAGAUAAAAUAAGGUCAAAUUGAUUAUCAUUAUGUUUUUAACAGUUUUGACUAUCUCAGGAUUGUAAAUGAUAAGCAACAGAUUGUUGGUACGUACUGUGGUCAGAAGACUGGGGAGGAAGUUUUCUUAGCCGGAGACCAGGUGUCGAUAACAUUCCACUCCGACAAUACUAGAGAGAGAAGAGGAUUUCACCUAUAUUUCACCGCUGUUCCACACGUUCCACCCAAGAUAGUUUCUGCAGAGGAACCAGUCACUCCGGGUAACAAAGUGUCAUGUUCAGCCAGAGGAACUCCUCCCAUAUACACAGCACUGAUAUGGGGCUCUACAGUACUGCUGAAUACAACUAACACUGCAACCCUCCCUUUGUACGAGGAGGGCAACUACACGUGCGAGGGCACCAGCAAGUAUGGAACUGACAAGAGGGUGGUUUUAGUAGAAGGUUGUGGCCCUGUGAUAAAUAACACGCUAAAAAGUCCCGGAUAUCCUGAGAAUUAUCCACUUAAUAGGGACUGUGCUUCGUCGAUUCCUGUUCCACCAGGCAUGAUGGCGAUAAAUAUAUCCUUUCAAGAAAUCUACCUGGAGUAUAGUUCACGUUGCAAGUAUGAAUUGACAUGAUUUACUCUACUGUAUUAACCAACUGCGAUUAUUAAGAGAAGCAGGGUUCAAUGUAAAGUCUGAAGAGGGUAAACAUCCAGUCGCUUUUUUUAAAGGAGUUCAG